AAUAGGGGAGCUUAUUGGAUAGGCUGAGAGGAAGUUGAGAACUUCGACCCAUAAACCUGAUUUGGAUAAUGCCAACGUAGGAACGUAUAAUA
rnacentral:ncRNA from 1 species